CAAGGAAGGAAGGAAGGAAGGAAGCAGGAGAUGGCGGGCCAGGGGCAUGCCCUUUUACUGCCCCCCCCAUGGCUUCCUGCUCUGGAAUUCUGGGAAUGGUGGUUUGUUGUGGCACCAGAGCUCCUCUAUGGGCAAGUAGUCCCCUGGGUUUCCCUAUGGGCAAGUACUGUACUGUCUCUUGUUUUAGUACGUUUUUAAGCAAAGGAAGACCCAGAGGAGGAAUUGCAGGUUGAGGGAGGGAGGAAGGAAGGACUUCAUGGUCAUGGUGGCCAGAUGUCUUCACCAAGGAGGACAAGGUGCCACAAAAUGUAGAGCCUUGAAGAAAAAUGGAGGAUAUGACCAAAGAAAAGCUAAGAACACUCAUGGAAAUGGAAAUUCCUGCUUCUUAGUCAUGCUCAAAAUGGAGGCCAUUAUGGAGUCACUCUUGGACAGAAGAGAUAAUGAAAUGGAGGAUGUGUCCUAGAAAAGGAACAUGUCUGCUCACCCUGCACAGAAAUGAAAAUCCAUGCUUCUUAGCCAUGCUCCAAAUGGAGGACAUUUUGGAAUUCCUUUUAGAUAGAAGGUAAUGAAAUGGAGGACGUUUCCUGGAAAAGGAGGACCUCCAGUCACCCUGUUUGCCGUGUUUUCCUGUAUACCAGCCUGAGAUUCCCUGAUAUAAGGUGAGACAAAAAUAUUUUAAAUAAAUAAAUCAUUUUAAUUUUAAAGUUUUGAUCAGCUAGCCUUGACGGUACUAAAUUUCUCAUGUGUGGGAGUAUGUGGUGCAUGGUAUGGCCUGUUUGUAUGUUCUUAACCUAGUAACAGCAUUGAAGGCUGCUACCAUGACUCAUUAGGCAAAUUCAAUAUUAUCUAGCUUUUAUAUUAGACUAUAAUAUUGGUAAGUAAUGAAGUUUAAGCUGGUCAGGAAAUUAAUUUAAUUUAUUUACUUUAAUUUAAAGAAGAAUCCAGUGCCACAACGUAUCACCGAUAUCAGAUCUCAUAUCCAAAGCAUGCAAAGGAGUCAAUUGUAAACAAUAGUUUUUCUCUUCCAUUGCAUCCACACUGCAGCAACAAUCAAGUUUGACACUGCUUUCACAACCAUGGCCCAGUGCUGUGGAAUUCUAGGAAAUGUCUGGUGCCACACCAAACUACAUUUCCCAGAAUUCCAUAACAUUGAGCCAUGGCAGUGAAAGUGGUGUCGGACUGGAUUAUUUCUCCAGUGUGCAUGCAGCCUUUGUGUAGGGCACAUUUCUGUCACAAUGAAUAAAAGUAUACCUAGGAUAAGGGAAAGACAAAGAAGCAUGUAAGAUUGAACCAGGUAGCUCCAGAUGUAUUUGAGGCCAAGCACUUCUAAUUUUCAAAAUAAAGCUGUUUUAUGAGGCUACAAUUAGUCCUAUGCUAUUAGUUUCAGUACCUGAACUUACUGUGCAAUCCUAUAUAUAUUUACUCCAAGGUAAGUCCAACUAAAGGCUGGAGCCUUAGUGCUAUCAGUAUAAUAAAUGAGAGUAAUUUGUAUAGUGUGUGUGUGUGUAUGCUGCUUUUUAUAGAUGUUUGUACCUUAUCGCCAAUGGCAUUCUACUGCAAUUCCCUCCAUAUAAAUAUAAUCAUCAUCAUCAUCAUCAUCAUCAUCAUCAUCUUGUAUUUAUAUCCCGCCUACCCCAAUUAGGGCUGAGGCGGCUUACAGUAAUAAAUGAAGAGUCCACCAGAGAAAACAGUCUGCCAUUGAAACUGAAAGGAGAAACUGCAAUAAUCUCUUCUUUCUUCACUCUGUUAUUGUUGAGAAAAUAAUCUCAGUUACAUGAAGCAAUUCCUAUUGAUUUCUCUAUUGCCUUAUUUGACUUGUGUUCACAUUGCAUCCCAAUCCGAAAUGCAUGUACUGUAUAUGGAAUUAAAUACCUGAUAUUGAGUACAAUGCAACUUUGAAAUAAAUGUGAAUCAUAUCAUGACUGAA